rnacentral:lncRNA from 1 species
GAUUGUACAAAAUAAUUUUCAGAGUCAUGGUUAGAUUGUUACCCAGAAUAUUUCUCCAACUCCCAUCCCUUGUUGCAACAAACUUCUUUGAGAGCUUGCUGCCAUGUGUUUAUAUCCGCGGAGCUGAACUUAUUCUUCCGAUCCUCCGUCUCUUGCGCUAAAUUCGAUAUGGCAUCUUUGUACAACGGGGUUUUCAAUUUCACGUCAUCGGGUUUCACGUCGUAGAAGAUGGGCAAUAUGACCUUCUCUUUCCCAUCUUCUUUAUUUUUAGAGGUGUUCUCCACCAUCUUCGCAAGCUCGUCGAGGCACCAGUGACUUGAAGCAUAAUCUUUGGAGAAGAUGGGUAUGUAGAGCUUGGAAUUGUCAAUUGCUUGUAGAAGGUUGCCACUAAUUCUUUCACCUGGUCGAAGCCCUUCAUCAUCGAUGAAAACACUAAUCCCAGCAUUUACCAAGGCUUGGUGGAGGAUAUCGGUGAAUGUACGACGAGUAUCAGGUCCUCUAAAAUUCAAGAAGACCUGGUACUUACCUCCUGAUGGAUUGCUGGUGCUUGUUCCUGUCUCUGAGUUCACCAUCGGAGCUCACUUCGCACUUAGCAAGGUCAGCCCUCUUACUUGGUCUUUGAGUUUGCCAUAUGACAUUUCACAUAUUUGAAUCCAAUCCAAUUUGCCGUCCAAAACGCGUAUAGGCAACUUCGUAGCAGGUGCAAUUUCCAGUUUGCAAUCAAUAAAGUUGAUGGCUUUAAAAAAGAAAAAUAAGGCGGAGGACAAUUAUGGAGGUGCCCCUUUUUAUACGCCCAAUUUCUUUCCAGUUUCCCCUUUGUGUUUUUGAACUUUUGGAUUAAAAAUAUUUGAUUCUUUAUAUCUAUAGUUAGGCAUAUUUAUAAUCCCAAUCUAGAAUUGUAAAAUGACAAUUUAUUUAUAUAGAAAAACAAAUUAUUCCUAAAGGAUCGCCUCUUAUUCUAAUACUUGGGACUGUAGAUAAUUAGAAAUAUCUCCUUGUUACUAUAGAGAUUGGAUUUGCUGCAUUCUCUACAACAAAUGCUCUACCUAAGCAUAUACGUACUACUUACUAUGAAAUAUUUGUUUUGAUCUCUUUGCCUUCAAGACUUCCUUUAAUUUUAAGUCAUUUCCUUUAACAACUCAAAUAUUCUCAUAAAAUGUGCAAUUAUAUUAAAAAGCAAAUGAUAAUUUAUUUUCUACUGAUAACUAUUAGAAUGUAAGCAUGGUGCAGUUAGUGUGCAUUGGACGUUAAACCAAAUCAAAUUAUAUAAAUAUGAUAGAAUAUAUUUCGAAUUUGAAAUUGUUGGAUGAAAUAGGACCAGAUGAGACUUAUGGAUGCUCC